UGGGGAAUUUUGGACAAUGGGCGAAAGCCUGAUCCAGCAAUGCCGCGUGUGUGAAGAAGGCCUUCGGGUUGUAAAGCACUUUUGUCCGGAAAGAAAUCCUCUGGGUUAAUACCUCGGGGGGAUGACGGUACCGGAAGAAUAAGCACCGGCUAACUACGUGCCAGCAGCCGCGGUAAUACAUAGGGUGCAAGCGUUAAUCGGAAUUACUGGGCGUAAAGCGUGCGCAGGCGGUUUUGUAAGACGGAUGUGAAAUCCCCGGGCUUAACCUGGGAACUGCAUUCGUGACUGCAAGGCUAGAGUAUGGCAGAGGGGGGUAGAAUUCCACGUGCAGCAGUGAAAUGCGUAGAGAUGUGGAGGAAUACCGAUGGCGAAGGCAGCCCCCUGGGCCAAUACUGACGCUCAUGCACGAAAGCGUGGGGAGCAAACAGGAUUAGAUACCCUGGUAGUCCACGCCCUAAACGAUGUCAACUAGUUGUUGGGGAUUCAUUUCCUUAGUAACGUAGCUAACGCGUGAAGUUGACCGCCUGGGGAGUACGGUCGCAAGAUUAAAACUCAAAUGAAUUGAC
rnacentral:rRNA from 1 species